CCAUCUGGGGAGUAAGAUGUCCCUUCUUAUUCCUGGACCCCAGAUUCCCGCUAGCCAAGGAGACCGUUGUGGUGUAUCCAGACCAUGCUAGCGGGUUUAGGAAGAUGGUGGGGACAUCCCUGUAUCUCCAUAUGAGCCUGUAAGCUGCGAAAGGAGCAGCGGGCUCUUUCAGCUACCUGUGCAUGGAAAGGAGGGUUCCCGUUCGCUAGGCGCGCAAGUGAGAGGCAGAACGGGAGUGUGCGCCAAGGUGUGUUUGCUUGUUGUCGCCGGUGCAGUGUUUCUUGUCCCUAGCGCCAGCUUCGCGCCAUCCCAGUGAGUUUGAUUGAAAUGCGACCUCAGGAAAGUGUGGAACCGGGAAGAGGGUGCUAGGCGGGAGGGAAGAGGGACGGAACCUGGAGAAAACCGGGAAGGACCGGCCAAAAGUCACCGCAGCGGCUCUGCGAGCUGCUUGGGGACUGCUAUUUUGAAAUGCGGCGACUGCCACUCCGGGGCGCAGGAUACCAGGGUCAAGUGUCACUUCCUCUGGCGGUCAAUCUCCAAUAUUCCUUGUAAUGUUUUUAAAUGGACGAAUUCAUUACUUGGGGACGUGUGAAUGGAGAGUGUUGGAGAGCCGGCUUGAUCAAUAGCGUCUACUGAUGGUUCAUUUUUCACUGCGGAGCGAGGAUCGCGGAGCUGAAGAAAGACCUAAUCAAUAACGCGCACCACGGACUGGAAAAGGUCAUUUAGGGAAGGUGGAAAAGUUCAGGCUCCCGGUGGGCGAAGCCUAAUCGCCCCCUUGGUUUUCCCUGCGACUCCCUCUACCGUUGUCCUUCUAGCACACUGCCACCAAGAGCUGGCUGCUUAAGGUCAGGUUCAAACAUGCUAUCCGGACAAGCCCACGCCCAGUGUCCACACUACUCCUGCGAAAACACAGGUGGAUUCACCUAAAGGCCACACCUGAGCUUUUAGCAGUUUAGGGGAGAGUCAUACGAACACACACACACACACACACACACACACACACACACACACACACACACACACACACACACACACACACACACACACACACACACACACACACACACACACACACACACACACACACACACACACACACACACACACACACACACACACACACACACACACACACACACACACACACACACAGGUCUUCGUAGUGUCCUGAAUGAGUGCACAGGUGAAUCGGUGAUUGGGAAGAUUGGCCAGCCAGCCCCGCUGUUGUUAACAGAAAAGGUCAAGUAAAAUUAAAAGGGAAAAUACCUCCAAUAUCCCUUGCUGUCUUGCCAAUAGCCCC
rnacentral:lncRNA from 1 species